AAGUCGUAACAAGGUUUCCGUAGGUGAACCUGCGGAAGGAUCAUUAAUGAAAUGAUAAUUUUUUGGGGUUUUCCCUGAAAAAUAAUUCACCUUUUGUGCACUGUUAUAAGAUAUACUUUGGUUAGAGCUUUGAUUUCAUUUAAUGGAAUCAACUUCUUGCUGACUCUAUCCUUUCUGAGGACAGUUGGCUAUGAAGCGGCCUACCAAGGUUUUUUAUCAAACUCAUUUAAAUUAUCUGACCUAAACUAUUAUAAUAAAAUCAUAACUUUCAACAACGGAUCUCUUGGCUCUC
rnacentral:misc_RNA from 1 species